CCAAACUUGGUCAUUUAGAGGAAGUAAAAGUCGUAACAAGGUCUCCGUCGGUGAACCAGCGGAGGGAUCAUUAUAGAGUGUUAAAACUCCCUAAACCCGUGUGAACAAUACCUUUUGUUGCUUCGGCGAGUCGUCCCGGGCGCCGCUGCGUGCCCCGGAUCCAGGCGCUCGCCGGAGGACUCCAACUCUUGUUUUGCAAGUGGUAUCUCUGAGUGUACCAAACAAAUAAAUCAAAACUUUCAACAACGGAUCUCUUGGUUCUGGCAUCGAUGAAGAACGCAGC
rnacentral:misc_RNA from 1 species